CACAGGCCAUCCCCUCUGCACUCUGAUAUCUCAGAGACAGAGCACUACGGAAGGGAGCCCCAUUCCCAAGCAUGGUGUCCAAUACACUGAAAGAAUAACUGGGCUCAGUAAUGCACCUAGAGACUCAGAUUCCAGACCUGCCCACUUGCUUUACUAUCCAAAACAACCAUGACACAUGACUUCUCUGGCGGGGUGUUGGCCAAGACAAACUGAACUAUAGAAGAUCCUUGACUUGCCAACGUUCAAAUGAUGAACUUUCAAAAAUAGCGAAACUGGCUGCAGAGCAAAAGCUUUUCAGCUCUGCACAACACCAACAGAUGGCGCUAAGUGUCACCCUUGUGGAGAGCAGAGGGACCUCGGAAGGGCCUUUGGAAAUCUAAUCUGGUUUUGAGUUCUUGGUGGGAAAAUGCACCUUUAAGUUGGGGGAGUUUGAAGACGUUGCCAAGACACGUGCUGCAGCAUUUGAUCUUUUCUGCCGCACUGGCUUCUGCAAUUAACAUGCUUUCACCAGUGAAACUCAGGUUGCGGGGAGAGCAUUCUUCCAGGUUCAUGCCUGUUGUCAUGGAGUAAUUAUAAUUCAUGUCUCCGUUCACAGUGUCCUGGUUUGUAGAAUAAA
rnacentral:lncRNA from 1 species